rnacentral:rRNA from 1 species
GAUGAACGCUGGCGGCGUGCUUAACACAUGCAAGUCGAACGGAAAGGCCCUGCGUAUGUGGUGUGCUCGAGGGGCGAACGGGGAAGUAACGCGGGAGUAACCUGCCCUGGACUUUGUGAUAACUUCAGGAGACUGAGGCUAAGACACGAUAGGAGCUCCUGCUGCAUGGUACGGGUUGGAAAGUUUCGGCGGUUGGGAAUGGACUCGCGGCAUAUCAGCUUGUUGGUGGGGUAGUGGCUUACCAAGGCACGGCCGGGUAGACGGACGGAGAGGGUGACCGGCCACACUAGGACUGAGAUGCGGCACAGACUCCUACGGGAGGCAGCGGUGGGGAAUAUUGUACAAUGGGAGGAAGCCUGAUGCAGCAACGCGGCGUGCGGGAUGACGACAUGCGGGUUGGUAACCGCUUCCGCAUGUGACGAAGCGUGAGUGACGGUAAUGGGUAAAGAAGCACCGGCUAACUACGUG